rnacentral:lncRNA from 1 species
UAGGCUUUACAAUAUUUGAUCCAUGAAAGGUAAUAGAAAAUGAUCCUUCCUAGUAGCUUGAUUUAACCUCUGAUAGUCAAUACACAUAUGCCAUCCGGUAACUGUUCGAGUUGGAACCAACUCGUUCUUGUCAUUUCAAACGACAGUCAUACCUCCCUUUUUUCAUUCAUUGGACUCACCCAAGAACUAUAAAAAAUAAG